rnacentral:rRNA from 1 species
UUGAACGCUGGCGGCAUGCCUUACACAUGCAAGUCGAACGGUAGAGGGGCAACCCUUGAGAGUGGCGAACGGGUGAGUAAUAUAUCGGAACGUGCCCAGUCGUGGGGGAUAACGCAGCGAAAGCUGCGCUAAUACCGCAUACGAUCUAUGGAUGAAAGCGGGGGAUCGCAAGACCUCGCGCGAUUGGAGCGGCCGAUAUCAGAUUAGGUAGUUGGUGGGGUAAAAGGCCCAC